rnacentral:rRNA from 1 species
AAAACCACGAGUUUGAUCAUGGCUCAGAUUGAACGCUGGCGGCAUGCUUUACACAUGCAAGUCGAACGGCAGCACGAGUGCUUGCACUUGGUGGCGAGUGGCGGACGGGUGAGUAAUACAUCGGAACGUGUCCUGAAGUGGGGGAUAACGCAUCGAAAGAUGUGCUAAUACCGCAUAAUCUCUGAGGAGGAAAGUAGGGGAUCGAAAGACCUUAUGCUUUUGGAGCGGCCGAUGUCUGAUUAGCUAGUUGGUGGGGUAAUGGCUUACCAAGGCGACGAUCAGUAGUUGGUCUGAGAGGACGACCAGCCACACUGGGACUGAGACACGGCCCAGACUCCUACGGGAGGCAGCAGUGGGGAAUUUUGGACAAUGGGCGCAAGCCUGAUCCAGCAAUGCCGCGUGAGUGAAGAAGGCCUUCGGGUUGUAAAGCUCUUUCAGUCGAAAAGAAAAGGUUAAUGAAUAAUAAAU